AAAGGGACCAGCCCAGCGCAUAACCUUGCGGUCAUGAUUUGGCUGUUGAGGGGUGUUGCGUUUCGGUGAAUCCGUACCGCCCGAAUUGCUGACCGUCUAAGUCAUUGCUUGAAUGCAGCCCCUAGGAGGGUGGUAGGCCCGUGUGGCGGCGCCUUUGAAAAGGUUUUGAAGGAAUUUGGGCGGAGGGAUUGUAACCGUAGAGUCGGGUUGCUUAGUAGUGCAGCCCUAAGUAGGUGGUAAACUCCAUCUAAGGCUAAAUAUGAGCACGAGUCCGAUAUUUGACAAGUACCGUGAGGGAAAGCUGAAAAGGACUCUGAAGAGAGAGUUCAAGAGGACGUGAAACCAUUAGAAGGUGAAACGGGUGGAACCUUGAAGGUGGAAAGAGGGGAUUCAGGCUGUUGGUGGCUGCAUAAGACAUUCAACUUUUGUUGAGAGAAUGGAGCCGGCUUAAGAGUGAUUGUGCCGGGCAGUUGGUGACUUGUGUGGCUGCCAGCGGGCUUAUUUCUGCCUCGAGUACUGGACGUGGCGACCCGCUGGUGGGACCCCGAGGUGGCCUGAGGACUGGUAGCCUAGACUCUUGAGUUUGGGUGAGGACCUGUUGGGUUACCNAGUGGGUUUGAUCGGCGGUCACUAANANGAGCCGG
rnacentral:rRNA from 1 species